rnacentral:rRNA from 1 species
UACGAAGGGGGCUAGCGUUGCUCGGAAUUACUGGGCGUAAAGGGCGCGUAGGCGGACAGCUUAGUCAGAGGUGAAAGCCCAGGGCUCAACCUUGGAAUAGCCUUUGAUACUGGCUGUCUUGAGUUCGGGAGAGGUGAGUGGAAUGCCGAGUGUAGAGGUGAAAUUCGUAGAUAUUCGCAAGAACACCAGUGGCGAAGGCGGCUCACUGGCCCGAUACUGACGCUGAGGUGCGAAAGCGUGGGGAGCAAACAGG